rnacentral:tRNA from 2 species
CCGGCGGUGGCGGAGUGGCCAAUCGCAUUUGACUGUAAAUCAAACGGGCUUUGUCCCUGCGUAGGUUCGAAUCCUACCCGCCGGA